UUGAUCCCUGGUCUCCUGCAUUGUAGGCAGACGCUUUACCAUCUGAGCCGCUAGGGAAGUCUCAGGGUCUCCGAGGAGGUAAUAAAUCAAGCAGAAGAGCGCCCCUUGGGUCUCUCUGAGUGAGUUGUUUUGUGUCCGGAGGGUUUAAAACGAGAGACAGCUCACGGCCCAGGGCGUGUUGGCGCCGCGGUUUGGUCACCUUGGAGGCCGGUCUGUACACCUCGCCCCACCUCUGUCCUGCAGGCCUCCAUCCAGCUUUCUCCAUGUAGAGCCCAUGGGCUGGUGCGCCGCCCCCAGCGAGCAGGUAGAAGGAAACCACCAACACACAGGCGUCACCAGGGUGAUGCCCCAGCAAGGGACAUGCUAGUUCCGGAGCAUGGUCUUUCAGCAAACUCACAGCACGGAGCAUCUGCACUGAGGGACACACGUCCUACUGGACAAGACCCGGAAGCCGUCAGGGCUGGCGCACUCCUGUGGCAAGGCCCUCUCCUGUGGCAAGGCCCUCACUGGUAUCGGCAAGACUAGCUGCAAAUCCAAUGAAACGUGUGCGGAACGGGCUCGUUUGACUGCGCUCGGCUGACUCGACCCUUAGAAUAACAUGCAGUGUUUUCAUGAGUCUCUGGAGAGAGAUUAGAAUUCUUGAGGGUUUGGGCUGUGACCUCUAUUUCUAACCAUGGCGUUCUCAAAGAAGUCACAUGUGUGCUGAUAUUGUGCACACCCCAUCAGAAGUAGAGUUUGAAGAAAAUUGGGUGGUGGCCUUUGACAGGAAGGAAGGAAAGGGAACUUUCCAGUUCACUCCCUGGGUUCUGGCGAGAGCGGCCGUGGAGAGCAGGAGGAGCUGGGCGCGGCCCACCUGGCCGGGAGGGCAGGGCUGCACACAGCCGGGUGGUCCCCUUUCCCUGUCCGCCUGCCAGGCACAUGACCUCCCAGAGGUUUCUAGGAGGUUGUUCUCAAGUCCCCAAAGCAUGAGUCUCACCAAGUAAAGCCUAUAAGCAGGGAGGAAGAAGGCCCAGGGGUCCACCCAGCGGGUAGAGACACUGCUCCUGGUCAUCAGCAAGUAGGGGAUCCAGCUCUGGGGGAGGAGCUCUGGGGAGGAGCCCCCCUCACCCCAAAUGCCCCUGGUGGAGCCUGAGGUCACAGGAGAGAAAGGGCCAGACGGGGCUCCGGACGGGCAACCACCGGCCCAGUGAGACGGUCAGUCCACCUGAGCCCGAAAGCGGGGCUUCUUCAGUGUGGGACAUCCCCCCACGGUGACCGCCACACCAGACAGCGAAAGUCCUCUGAUGGAGAAGACGCCGUCCUUCUCACGACGCCCGAGGUUCUCAUCAGUAAGACCUCUGCCCUGACUUCAACACACUUGUAUUUUGAUCCAUCAAGUUGGCUGUGACUCAUCACUCCUAGUCUACAGAAGUGAAUCUACCCCACCGUCCCUUUGUGUUGAAAGGAGACGUGUGUGAUUCAGGCUGCAGCUCUGACUCACCUGUGAGUGAGUUAAAGGCUGAGCUUUCCUAGAGGUGCUGUGACUUAUUCCUAAAUAAACUUCGAGAUGAGUGUCGAUUCAGAUGCAGCCUUGUGAGCUGAUACAGACAGCCUGUGUACUCCCGUGCAGUUCCCACAGGGGAAGCAUCUUGAGACACUAGGAAUCGUAACUAAGGCGCUGGCUUCUGGAACGUCAGCAAAGAGACCAUCGUAUCUCCAUCUCCGCCCCCACCUUUAUCCCUGCCUCAGCCCCUGGCAACCACAAAUCUGCUGUCCAUUUCUGUAACCUUGUCAUUUCAAGAAUGUUAUAGAAAUGAGAUCAUAUAGCACAGGACCUUUUGGAGUCAGCAUUCUUCACUCAGUGUAAUUCUGGAGCUCCAUCCAAGUUGUGUGCGCAGAGUUCACAUUCAUCCGUGUUGACCACUGCGGCUGUAAUACUCACAGUGUGGACACAUUAUCCCCUCAGCCACUGAGGGACAGCUGGUUGGUUAUUACAGAUCAUGCUGCUAUAAAUGUUCAUGCCCAG